GGGGGUAUAGUUCAAUGGCAGAGCACUUGCCUACCAUGCACAAAGUCCUGGGUUCAAUCCCAGCACUGCCA
rnacentral:tRNA from 1 species